ensembl:lncRNA
UGUAGUGUGGUCGCAGUUGCAAUUGAGUUUAACUUGUUUUUUUGUAUGUGCACUAAGGACGUGUCUCUUUGCUUCCUCAGACUUGAUUAAGCAGUAGCCAUAGUGAACUAGAUGGCUCUGUCCAAAGAGAACAAUGAAGAUAUGCAGAAUAACCUGAAACAGUGAAGCUGUCUGUGAAUGCAUCCUGGUCAUUGGGAUACGGCCAGAUGAUGACAACAGAGACAUUAUUCAAAAGUGUAAGCAGCCGUAAGAGCUAGGCUCUUAGCAGGAAUCUGCUAAAUUAUAGAAACAAGAGAUGAGUUUUCAGUCUGCAAUCUUUUUCCAAAUGUCUUGAACUUAAAGUAAUUAAUGAUGUCAUGUUUAGAAUAGGUCCUCCUUCCUCUGCUAUUACUAAGCUGUUCCCCUCAGGUACCUCCUAUAGACAAGACUAGAUGGUUGUGAUCAC